rnacentral:rRNA from 1 species
UACGAAGGGGGCUAGCGUUGCUCGGAAUCACUGGGCGUAAAGGGUGCGUAGGCGGGUCUUUAAGUCAGGGGUGAAAUCCUGGAGCUCAACUCCAGAACUGCCCUUGAUACUGAGGAUCUUGAGUUCGGGAGAGGUGAGUGGAACUGCGAGUGUAGAGGUGAAAUUCGUAGAUAUUUGCAAGAACACCAGUGGCGAAGGCGGCUCACUGGCCCGAUACUGACGCUGAGGCACGAAAGCGUGGGGGCAAACAGG